rnacentral:misc_RNA from 1 species
AACGCAACUUGCGCCUGCUUGCGGGCGUGUCUGGCUGAGGGUCGCAAAAACAUGAUGGGUAGAUGUAACAGAUAAAUGUAACGUCUACUCCUCGGUCUGGCGCCGUGUGCAAACACACCCUGCUGAAACCGCGCACGCGGCCGGCAGCGCGGCCCGAGUGUCAGGCACCACUGGUGUGAUCUCGGAGCGCAUGCCGCCAAGCAACAAAACAGAACAGAACAAAACAACAUCUUCGGACCUCAGCUCAGGCAGGACUACCCGCUGAACUUAA